UACGAAGGGGGCUAGCGUUGCUCGGAAUCACUGGGCGUAAAGGGUGCGUAGGCGGGUCUUUAAGUCAGGGGUGAAAUCCUGGAGCUCAACUCCAGAACUGCCUUUGAUACUGAAGAUCUUGAGUUCGGGAGAGGUGAGUGGAAUUCCUAGUGUAGAGGUGAAAUUCGUAGAUAUUAGGAAGAACACCAGUGGCGAAGGCGGCUCACUGGCCCGGUACUGACGCUGAGGCGCGAAAGCGUGGGGAGCAAACAGG
rnacentral:rRNA from 1 species